rnacentral:misc_RNA from 1 species
GGCAAAAUUAUCACCAUUGCUCCUGUUGAAGAGCUACAAAGAGAAGAUCGAGAACUGUGGAUUUGUUAUUCUGCUUUAGAUGCAAUAAGCACCUGGCAGCUUUAUGAGAGUUUGAAAAACAAACUAUGUCGUAUGCCAUGGAAAGUUGAUGGAAGACCAGUUGGAAAAUCUAUGUAUGACUUCUACCAGGAAUACUGGAAACCAUUUGGCAAGCUUCUAGUUAGAAUGGAAACUGAGGGGAUACUUGUUGAUCGGCCAUAUCUUGCUGA